GGGGUGAGGGUACGAGAGGGGUGAUUAGGGGAAAAAGAAUGAAAUAGAAAAGAAAUAAAGAUUAAAAGAUAAGGAAAAAUGGCAACAAAACAAGCACAACUCUCUUCUCUUUAGAAACUCCUUCUUCUCCUUCAUUCUUUUCGUCAUUUUUCCUCUCAUCUUUUCAUUUUCUCCUUUAGAUCUCCUCUUUGGGCGAUCACCGAUAAGUUUCUCACUGGUGGCUGCUUGGUACCCCAAGAUCCAUAUAUCUCCUCAAAUCUAUAACCAUUAGAAACACAUCUGAGAUUCUCUCCUCAAUAUUGGAAUCCUACCCUCCCCAUUACUGAAGUCUUAUUUUCUCACCCUUAGCAGGGUUUUGUUUGUUUCUGGCUGUAUUUAAUGGACUUUUUAGCAAUUCAAGAUACAGCAUGGAUCGUUGAAUCCUUUUGAUCAGAGACUUUAGAUUUUCAAAUACAAGUAAUGAUUUCUAUCAAUGAAGCCUAGUAGUACAACCUAUUCAUUCAUUGAGAUUUAGUGAUUUCAAUUCUUCUGUAAGCCACAGAGGUAGCAAGUUUUUGAAAGGGCAGUGUUACAUAAGGUUUAUUUGAUCGUCCAAAAUGAAAACGGACUAAUUACUAUCUAGAAAAU
rnacentral:misc_RNA from 1 species